rnacentral:rRNA from 1 species
UACGUAGGUGGCGAGCGUUGUCCGGAUUUACUGGGCGUAAAGGGAGCGUAGGCGGACUUUUAAGUGAGAUGUGAAAUACCCGGGCUCAACUUGGGUGCUGCAUUUCAAACUGGAAGUCUAGAGUGCAGGAGAGGAGAAUGGAAUUCCUAGUGUAGCGGUGAAAUGCGUAGAGAUUAGGAAGAACACCAGUGGCGAAGGCGAUUCUCUGGACUGUAACUGACGCUGAGGCUCGAAAGCGUGGGGGCAAACAGGAUUAGAUACCCCCGUAGUCCCU